rnacentral:tRNA from 1 species
ACGGACUUAAAAUCCGUCGACUUAAAAAAGUCGUGAGGGUUCAAGUCCCU